UGCGGCGCUGCAAGAUGAGCAUCGGCAACGUGUCAUCAUUCUGCGCUGCGUGCACACCAAUCACAAGCUGGAAUCUCUGUCAUGUGAUCUUUUUCGUGACACAUCGUCGCCAUGUUUUGUUAGGGAAAUAUGCCCAACCUGACAAAUCGAAAGUUUGCAGUGCUGUUCUCCAAGUACAUUGUAUUCCGGUACAGUUCUGUAAGGUUAUGGAAUGAACAGCGGUGUAAUGGUUCAACUUGCUGAAAUAAACAAACCUUCCUGAUAAGAAGACAGGAGCAGCCAAGGAACAGAUCUGUGUCCUGGGUCCUGUUAAUGAAUUUACCUCACAGCCGCUGCCAAGAUUGUAAUGCAUUACAAGCGGCUUCCUUCAUGAAGAAAAAAAAAGUUACUAGGUGCAAGAUGCAGAACAGGAUCAUUCCACUUAAGCACCUACUGCCCAAACCACCACACUGUGAUCAUCAUCCCGUACACAGUCUCGAAAUCCACACAUCUUGCCAAAGGAAACAACCACAUUGCUUGACAUGUAGUAUUACAAAAUUUCCUAAACCAACUCCAAGAAAGGAUUGAUGAACAUAAUCCACUAAAUCCUUGGUCCUUUCCAAAUGACCCACAGUGGGGCCCAAAUGAAAGGCGUCCUGUACCAAUUCCCGACACCAAGGGAAGGCUAGUAAACAUGGGAUGGUGUAGGUGUCACAACUGCAACUUGAUGCCAUCGGUAGAAGAAAGCAUUUGUUGUUGUGAGUUUCAAAAUAUUAUCCAUUUCAAACAACAACAUGAAUGUGUUGUUCCUCAUCCGGAAGUAUCAAGAUUGGUACUAGAUGAUCAACUCCUAAGACACCAUAUAGACACAGCUAACCUGCUCCCUUAUAAGGAGAUGCAAAAAAAUCCAAAUGUCAGAGAAUGCUACUUUUUUAGAAUCAAGUCUAUGCACUCAAAGAGAACCACCAGACGCGGAGGGAAAUGGCACAAGUAAACAUAUAAGAACAAGGGGACAGUGAACAGCGAAAGCUCUUCCACAACAGCUACAACCUCAACCGAAAUUCACCAAAAAGAAGUGGGUUCUGUGCAUCAUUGAGAUGAGGAGGAGGCUGCCAAACUGUAGGUGGUAGUAAACAGUGACCUCCUCAUAGAGAUGAUAAACGAACGGAUGCCACUGUGGGACAAAUCCCAUCUCCAGCAUCACAACAAAAUCGCCUGCAAGCGGCUGUGGGAGGAUAUUUUCCGGGCACUUGUCACUACCAGGAACAGCCUAUCCUCUUUAGAGAAAGAGAAAUCAGGACUGUCUCUAGGCUUGCUGAUCCAGAUAUUCCACCACAUGCCAGAACUCCCGGUACAAUUGUCUUAAGUAUUGGAGAGCAAUCGAAGGAAGCUUCCCUAUCAGCUAACUUUUUCAACAUUUCAGCUCCAACAGGGGUUAGUGCCCUUUUUGGUGAGCUGUUUCAGGGGCAGAGAAGAUAUGUCUCGGAUUUUGAAGAUCUUGUCACUGUGCUAAGAGAUGCCCUGACAAGAAUGAAACAACUCAUGAUGAGGUAUAAGGAGGAAAAUACCUGCCUGCUUGCCUGACUGGAGGGGGCAAAGACAGCAGAAGCCCCUUCUACCCAUCUUGGGUUUUCAAAAAUCUUCUUCCUGACAUGGAGCACAUGCUGAUUGAGAAUCAGAACGAGUUUCACAGUAUUCUCCUACAAAACCUCCCUGAAAUCAUGCGCCGCCCCUCCAACCCCCACCUACCCCAGUCCGAUGCCAGGCCCCAUUCUAUAUCCCUUCCCAGCCCCAGUCCUAUUCCCACCCCCAGGGCCAGUCCUAUGCCCCUCCGCAGUCCCAGUCCAUUUUCACCCCCCUGCCACAAUCCCAUUCCAACACCUAAGCCUGGGCCAAAUAUUUUCCCAAAUUGAUUCCCUGUUAAAACCUCCUCCCAGCCCCAUGCCCAGCCCCAGUCUUAUGCCCAUCUCCAGUCCUAUGCCCUUCCCCAGCCUCUAUCCUAUGCACCUUCCCAGCCCCAGUCCUUUUUCACAAUCCCAUUUCACCACCCUGCCACAAUCCAAUUCCACCCCGACUCAGCCUCUUUCCCACUCUCAGCCCCAUGAUCUAUGCCUGGGCCAAAUAUUUUAUCAAAUUGAUUCCCCUUGCCAAAAAUUCUCCCAGCCCACUCCCUCUUUUCAAUCCAUUCCUCAUUGCACUACCCUUCCUUCCCAGUCCCUAAGCCAAACCCCAUCUUUUUUCCACUCCCCUCUUUUCAAUUCCCACACCGUCCACACCUGUCACCCACCAUGUCUCCUAUUCCGAAUCUUAUUCCCUCCACACCCCCAUCUCUUUUCCCAGAGGCUUUUAGAGAAGGCAGGAGGAUAAUCUGCCAAACUCUGAGAUACAGAGUCUAGCAUCUACCUUAGAACCAGUUGGUAACAGAGACACUAAUUUGCGUCAGCUCUGAGGAUGACUCGCGAUGAAUAGACCAAAUUACACCAGAAAAAAACUGUUCUUUGUAUUGUCCAAAAUGUUUUUAAAAAAUUACAUUACUGACAUUUCAGUACAGCACAAAGUUUUAAACAGUUUUUUUUUUUUUAU